UGAGAGAACACAACCACGAGAAGAAUGGAAAUAACAUGAUGUUCUCUCUGUUCUGUGCUGGGACAGUUGUGUAUGGGCUAAUGCCUAAAGGUGGUGAAUCCAGGAUUUUCAAAAGGGUCCUGCAACAGAAGGAAAUAGAGAACCACAUUCUGAGAGGGGCGGACUUCGGAGUUCAACGGAUUGAGAUGAGCUCAGCACCUUCCAGGAUUUCAAAAGUGGCCACUGAAACGGCAAAUGCAAUGAUUCACAUCUGAGUUUUUGCUGGUGCAAACUGCAUCUGCAUAAUACCCACAUGCAAUCUGCAUGUACAAAAUGGAAGGUUCAGAUAUGUGAAAAUGGAGUUCUCUCUUAGGGAUGCCUACAGGGGAACCACAAGAGGGACCUCUUUUUGUCCUCUCUAUGGGCUGUUCUGAGAGAGCACCCUGCCCCUCGUAGAUGGGACGGCAUCUGGAAUGUUUCGCCUCUACAAGCGUUCCCCAUCGAGAUGCCAUCUCCUUUGCAGUCCUGCCCUGUGAAGGUUUGGGGAGCCGGGGAGCAUGUUUGUUUUGCCCUGGCGUGGCUGUGACAGUGUCAUAAUUGAUCGGCCCUUGUGGGGGAGUAUGAGACUGUUUGUGUUCCUCACUAAAAUAGGGAAAUGGCAAAAUAACAAACAUACACAGAGAGUGUGAGUCCACAUCGGGCCCUUGGUACAAGGCAGACGAAUUCCAGCACUUGGUACAAGGCAGACGAAUUCCAGCACAGGCUCUCACCAGCAUUUUCUGUGUUAAGGAAGUGCUGGCACCCUGAAAUGUCAGGUCUCAAAAUGGACAUGGCCUGAAGUUGUUUGUGACAGUUUCCUGGAAGUGCCUCUUGGAUACAGGCCCCCUCACUUGUGCCUCCCCUCCAUAAAUAUGACUGAGAGAGGAAGACCAUCUAAAAUAGGUCGUUGUUAUGCAUGGAGAGAGCCUUGUUCCUUAAACCCUUGGUUUCCAAGUAAACAAGCUUGGGAGGUAAAUUAGCAAAAGAGGUUGAUUCAUUAGCAGCAAGGCAAAUCUGUGCACUGGAGAGGUGCCCAACUCCCCAGAGAGAUUUGCAUAGCAACAUGCUUCUCAGAUCUGAACGGAACAAGAUCUGUGACACACAGACUUGAACUGUUUCACAGUCACAUGCUGGCUAGGCUCAUUGCUUAUCUCAUGGGGUGUCCUCAGAGUAUCAGCUGCUCCAACCCCACAUGGGAUUACAAAGAGGUUAGGAGGGAGCAUGGCCAGCUAAAUGUCUUCCAGGGCAGGGGAUACAAAAAGGGCCUUCUCCCCCCAACCUUUGAAGCCAGAAGACAUUCAAUAUGAGAAAAGGAUUUCAGAUCCAUUUUCUUUUUUAAAGCUAGGUCACCACUAUGGCUGGACUAAAUGCUUCGGAUAAAAUCUGUCUGUGCAGCUAUGCUGAUCUGUCAACAACACAUGUUAUUGACAUGUUUAAUGGUAUUGAAUGGCCCCAUUGCUAGAAUAUCUGAGUGUCAUGUACUAAAUUAACAGCAACUUAAUGUUUAGCUGCUAACGGACUCUACAUAUCACUCCUCGUAUCUUCUGUGCCCCUAUCCCGAAUGAGAUCAUUUCAGGCAGUGGUUUUCUCCCACAAGGAACAAAGCCAGGGCAUUCUUCUUCUGGCAUCAUUACAGAGGGAAGGCUUGUGCACAGAGAUGAACCCUUUGCCUUGUGGAACAAGCCAGAGAGGUGAGAGGGGAAUUUAGUCUCUGUGGCCCAUUCAGUCUUUUAGCUUCUCUGCAAAUGCUGCUAGCAAAUUGCAAUGGGGCCAAUUAGUACCAAUUAUCAUAUGGGCACCUGUCCAUGAGACAGGAAUGGAAAUCCACAAACACAUUUCACAUGGGCCACUGAACAGCUGUCAGAUUGUAAAGAUUUCUAACCACUGCUGACCUGAGCCAGAUUUGAACCCCUGACCUCCAAAUGACAGGCUUGGAAUCCCAAGACUAUGAGCCCUCCAGUAAAUCAGCAUGCUGUACAAUGUAUUCCAUUGAGAGUGGGAUUGAACAAGAUGUCACGCUAUGCUGCUGCCAUCUAGUGGCACAUUGGUACGAGUUUCCCAUGUCACCUGAGUAUCAUAGAAGAGCAAAUAAAUUCAUGUGGGUAACAAAAUGGGUGGAAAUCACACUAAAACCUAAUGCCCUGAAUGUAUUAAAUGCAUGUGUGAUAUACAAUAGGCCUUAUGAUGUACAGUCUUUUGUACAUUAUUACAUUAGUAAAAACAAUAUUGACAGAGGAUUUUUUAACUAAUAUUCGUGGAUCUUAUCAUCCUGGGCCUUAU